GCUGCUUUCGAAGCUGCUGGCAAUGUUGUUCAUCACCGUCUUGCGCUCCGCAGCGGCGCGCUGCUGGGCUUCCGCUUCGACCUUCUCGAGAUCGCGGAUACGGACCGCGUUGUCCUUGAAGACCUGCACNNNNNNGCACCGAUCUCGUCACGGCGAUCGCUGCCGGGGAUGCUUUCCUCGAGCUGGCCGUCGGCCAGCGACUGCAUGCGUGCGCCGAGCUGGCUGAGCGGACGGGUGAUGCUGC
rnacentral:misc_RNA from 1 species